rnacentral:tmRNA from 16 species
CGCUCGUAAAACCACUGGAAACAAAGUAACUGCAAACGACUCUACGUUCGCACUCGCCGCUUAAUUGCGGUUGAGCUUCUCAACGGCAGGCCGAUGGGCCGGGCUGAGUUCCAUUCGGGGCAAGGCUGAGAAGUCACUCACAUCGGCUGGCAACGCGCUGGGUCACUCAGCGCAUUGCGAGAUCAAGUGACUGGCGGAAAAGCUAGCGUGCCACUGCGCGAGUUGACCGUGAGAUUCAAAUCAGCCGGCUAAGCAUGUAGAUCUGCCCGGUGAUGGCUUGCGGACGGGGGUUCAAUUCCCCCCGGCUCCACCA